UUCCGGUGAUCCUGCCGGAGGCCACUGUUAUCGGGGUCCGACUAAGCCAUGCGAGACAAGGGGCUCCUUCGGGAGCACCGGCGCACGGCUCAUAAACACGUGGCUAACCUACCCUCGGGUGGGGGAUAACCUCGGGAAACUGAGGCUAAUCCCCCCCAUGGGGGAGGAGGUCUGGAACGAUCCCUCCCCGAAAGCUCCCGGCGCCCGAGGAUGGGGCUGCGGCGGAUUAGGUAGUUGGUGGGGUAACGGCCCACCAAGCCGACGAUCCGUACGGGCCCUGAGAGGGGGAGCCCGGAGAUGGACACUGAGACACGGUUCCAGGCCCUACGGGGCGCAGCAGGCGCGAAACCUCCGCAUUGCACGAAAUGCGACGGGGGGACCCCGAGUGCCAUCCCAAUGGGAUGGCUUUUCCGGAGUGUAAACAGCUCCGGGAAUAAGGGCUGGGCAAGUCCGGUGCCAGCAGCCGCGGUAAUACCGGCGGCCCAAGUGGUGGCCACUAUUAUUGGGCCUAAAGCGUCCGUAGCCGGCCCCAGUAAGUCUCUGCUUAAAUCCUGCGGCUCCAACCGCAGGGCUGGCAGAGAUACUGCUGGGCUUGGGACCGGGAGAGGCCGGGGGUACCCCAGGGGUAGCGGUGAAAUGCGUUGAUCCCUGGGGGACCACCUGUGGCGAAAGGCGCCCGGCUGGAACGGGUCCGACGGUGAGGGACGAAGGCCAGGGGAGCAAACCGGAUUAGAUACCCGGGUAGUCCUGGCUGUAAACUCUGCGGACUAGGUGUCGCGUCGGUUCGGGCCGACGCGGUGCCGAAGGAAGCCGUUAAGUCCGCCGCCUGGGGAGUACGGUCGCAAGACUGAAACUUAAAGGAUAUGGCGGG
rnacentral:rRNA from 1 species